ACGGGUGAGUAACACGUGAGCAACCUGCCCCUGACUCCGGGAUAAGCGGUGGAAACGCCGUCUAAUACCGGAUACGACCCGCCACCUCAUGGUGGAGGGUGGAAAGUUUUAUCGGUCAGGGAUGGGCUCGCGGCCUAUCAGCUUGUUGGUGGGGUAACGGCCUACCAAGGCGAUUACGGGUAGCCGGCCUGAGAGGGCGACCGGCCACACUGGGACUGAGACACGGCCCAGACUCCUGCGGGAGGCAGCAGUGGGGAAUAUUGCACAAUGGGCGAAAGCCUGAUGCAGCGACGCCGCGUGGGGGAUGACGGCCUUCGGGUUGUAAACCUCUUUUACCACCAACGCAGGCUCCACGUUCUCGUGGGGUUGACGGUAGGUGGGGAAUAAGGACCGGCUAACUACGUGCCAGCAGCCGCGGUAAUACGUAGGGUCCGAGCGUUGUCCGGAAUUAUUGGGCGUAAAGAGCUCGUAGGCGGCAUGUCGCGUCUGCUGUGAAAGACCGGGGCUUAACUCCGGUUCUGCAGUGGAUACGGGCAUGCUAGAGGUAGGUAGGGGAAACUGGAAUUCCUGGUGUAGCGGUGAAAUGCGCAGAUAUCAGGAGGAACACCGGUGGCGAAGGCGGGUUUCUGGGCCUUACCUGACGCUGAGGAGCGAAAGCAUGGGGAGCGAACAGGAUUAGAUACCCUGGUAGUCCAUGCCGUAAACGUUGGGCGCUAGGUGUGGGGACUUUCCACGGUUUCCGCGCCGUAGCUAACGCAUUAAGCGCCCCGCCUGGGGAGUACGGCCGCAAGGCUAAAACUCAAAGGAAUUGACGGGGGCCCGCACAAGCGGCGGAGCAUGUUGCUUAAUUCGACGCAACGCGAAGAACCUUACCAAGGUUUGACAUCACCCGUGGACCUGUAGAGAUACAGGGUCAUUUAGUUGGUGGGUGACAGGUGGUGCAUGGCUGUCGUCAGCUCGUGUCGUGAGAUGUUGGGUUAAGUCCCGCAACGAGCGCAACCCUUGUUCCAUGUUGCCAGCACGUAAUGGUGGGGACUCAUGGGAGACUGCCGGGGUCAACUCGGAGGAAGGUGGGGACGACGUCAAGUCAUCAUGCCCCUUAUGUCUUGGGCUGCAAACAUGCUACAAUGGCCGGUACAAUGGGCGUGCGAUACCGUAAGGUGGAGCGAAUCCCUUAAAGCCGGUCUCAGUUCGGAUUGGGGUCUGCAACUCGACCCCAUGAAGGUGGAGUCGCUAGUAAUCGCGGAUCAGCAACGCCGCGGUGAAUACGUUCCCGGGCCUUGUACACACCGCCCGUCACGUCAUGAAAGUCGGCAACACCCGAAACUUGUGGCCUAACCCUUCGG
rnacentral:rRNA from 1 species